rnacentral:rRNA from 1 species
UGGGGAAUAUUGCGCAAUGGGGGCAAGCCUGAUGCAGCCAUGCCGCGUCGUGUGAAGAAGGCCCUAGGGUUGUAAAGCACUUUCAGUUGGGAGGAAAAGCUAAUGGUUAAUAACCGUUAGCCCUGACGUUACCUUUAGAAGAAGCACCGGCUAACUCCGUGC